GCAGGGGAAACGUUCAGUCUGCCUGGGUUAUAUAUAGGUAGAUUCAUUGAUUUCGGAUCAGAAAAUUAUCAAUGUUCAUGGAUUCCCAGAACACAGCAGGGAGAAGUUUAUGUUAUGAACAUUUCUUAGCAACAAACCCUGUAAGAAGAAGGACGUCUGUUCUACAGCUUGUGGUGGAUUAUAGAACACAUGAUAUCAACCAAGUUUAAAGGAAGCAUGUAUAGCCACAUUAGAAAGAUUUAAGGAUUGUGAGAAACCAAAUAUGACAAAUCAGAAUAACUUCCAUGGGAGUGUGAAAAAAAAGAAUAGUAGAGUGUAAUCCUCAGGACUUUCUUCAGACUUCCAUAAAGUCAGGAAAUACUGUUGAACUGACAAAAUUAACAAAAAUCAUGAUUGUCAAAAAUUCAAGGAAGAUGUGCAAGUUAAGACUAAGACGGAUUUUAGGAGUUUUGAUGACAAAGAAUCAACCUUUGGAAAUAUGGCUUUAAACUUGGAUCUCUUUAUUGAUGCAUGCAUGAUGGUGGGCUGAAGAAGAAAACCAGGACAAAUGAAAAUUCCUAGUGUUCAUCAGAAAAAAUGAUCGAAUCAUGCAGCCAUUUUGAGUGCUUGAAUGCCCAACUGAGAGAGCCAGCCAAUGCGGAAAAUAUUUCUUGGAAGUUACACCAAAUCUGCUGUGACAAUUGAAUUAAAGCUUUAAAAGUACAUUUAAAAACAUACUGCCUUAAAAUUACAUUUGUAUAUGGUGUAAUUAUUUCAAGGAGAUACAACACACCUGGUUUAACAGUAAGGUCCAUAGCUAAACAUGGAUAUGGAAUUUAGCUCACCUGAUCCAAAGGCUCAAUUGCAAAGGUUCAAUUGCACAAUUCUGAUAAAAAGAAGUCUUUGGUGUCCAACAAUGCAUUAUUUAUAUGUUUGAGUGUUUACCUCCAUUAACUUUUAACAUUUUCUAUUUUUUUUUAACAUUUGGUCAAUGUAAACCACAUUUGGUACAAUGUAUCUCAGCUUAAAAGGAGUUAUAAAGCUUAUUCAAAUAAAGGGCUGCAUCCUUUUCCAAGGGGAGAUAAUGAAGAAAUAUGAAAAAUGGGAUAAUGUCAAAGACAUUUAAAAACUUUCAUUUUAUGAUCUAUUUGGUCAUAUAAGACAAAUGUUAUCCAAGAGUUUUCUUAAUGAGCAUAGAUUCAAGUUUUUUUCAUUGCCCCUAAGGAAAGGGUAGAGCUGCAGAAGGGGUUAUAUGUUUUGCAUAAAAAUAGAUAUAAGUGAAAAACUAGCAGGGUGACAUAAAUCAAAGUCAUAUGCAAACAUUACAACAUCAUAUGGAUUUAAUUUUGUUCAAAUUAUAGACAUUGGGGCUAAAAGUAAGGUUUUCAUUUUGCAUGUAUCUAUGUGUCAACAUUUAAAUUUGUUUAAUUUAUGGGCAUUGGGGUUAGAAACGGACUGAAAUUAGGGUUUAAAUUGUACAUGUAUAGAAGUGUCAACAUUUUUUAUAGGAAUAUGGAGGGGGAAAAUCUUUAAAAACAAUCUUUUUAAGAACAGUAGACACAAAAUGUCUCAGGCAAGCAUUUUGGCUUUUGGCAUCUUCAGUGUAUUAGAUUUUCAUUCAUAUAAUUUUAAGAUCAUAAAAGUACACCCUAGCUUUUCUGAAGAAACAAAGUGAGUUUAAUUUUUUAAAAUAAUAAAUGAUUUUAAUGGAAAAAGAUGAAUUAAGCCUAGUCAUAAAGGUCCAGUUUUCAUUUUGAAGUCUUUGUGAGGGUUUUUACUUAUUUGAGAAGUAAUUUGAAUUUGUACUUGGUUGUGUGUGGCACAUAAUUAUAUCUGUGUAAACCAGUAUAUUAUAUGCAAAUAUUGUUCAGAAUUAGUUGACUUAUUAAUGAAAUUAAUUGUAAAGAUUCAAGUGAUCCUUCUGGUCAGGUGUUUUUUUUUAUUACAAGUUCUUUUUUAUCAUUUUUUUUUUAAAGCAAAUUUGAAAAUAUGUAAAGAGAUAGGCAUUAUUUACUAUUUAUAUUUCAAGUCUCAGUGGAAGUAAUGUUUGAGGUCCAAAAUUGAAAUAUAUCAGUCUGUUUUAAUAUUUGAUCUCCUAGCCUAGCCCGUAUUCUUCAAUGUGAUAAAAUAUUCUCAUUAUAUAAAUGAAUUAAUAAAGUAAUAAAGUAAA